rnacentral:rRNA from 1 species
AGUCGAGCGAUGAGAUCACUUCGGUGAAGGAUUAGCGGCGAACGGGUGAGGAACACGUGAAGAAUCUGCCUUCAACUCUGGGAUAACUCCGGGAAACCGGGGCUAAUACCGGAUAUAAGUCUUGAUCGCAUGAUCGGGGCUGGAAAGUUUUUCGGUUGAAGAUGACUUCGCGGCCUAUCAGCUUGUUGGUGAGGUAAUGGCUCACCAAGGCGACGACGGGUAGCCGGCCUGAGAGGGCGACCGGCCACACUGGGACUGAGACACGGCCCAGACUCCUACGGGAGGCAGCAGUGGGGAAUAUUGGGCAAUGGAGGAAACUCUGACCCAGCGACGCCGCGUGCGGGAUGAAGGCCUUCGGGUUGUAAACCGCUUUCAGCAGGGAAUAAACGCAAGUGAAGGUACCUGCAGAAGAAGCACCGGCUAACUAUGUGCCAGCAGCCGCGGUAAUACAUAGGGUGCAAGCGUUGUCCGGAAUUAUUGGGCGUAAAGAGCUCGUAGGUGGUUUGUUACGUCGGUUGUGAAAUUCAGGGGCUCAACCCCUGACUUGCAGCCGAUACGGGCAAGCUAGAGUUUGGUAGGGGAGACUGGAAUUCCUGGUGUAGCGGUGGAAUGCGCAGAUAUCAGGAGGAACACCGAUGGCGAAGGCAGGUCUCUGGGCCAAUACUGACACUGAGGAGCGAAAGCGUGGGGAGCGAACAGGAUUAGAUACCCUGGUAGUCCACGCCGUAAACGGUGGGCGCUAGUUGUGCGAACCUUCCACGGUUUGUGCGACGCAGCUAACGCAUUAAGCGCCCCGCCUGGGGAGUACGAUCGCAAGAUUAAAACUCAAAGGAAUUGACGGGGCCCCGCACAAGCAGCGGAGCAUGCGGCUUAAUUCGACGCAACGCGAAGAACCUUACCAG